UCUCAGAGACUCAUAGCUUUUGUUCUCCAUUUUUUCUACCUCCUUAUUUUAUACGUUUAUAAGUUUCUUUCAAGAGCACACAGAAGAAGGAUAUGCAAUGAAAUGAGAGUCUUCUAUUUCCCCUAUGUUCUCCAUCAUGGUCUCUCCCUGAAAGAAUCUAGACAGAGAGUGUAGACUGCUCCUUACAGCACUCUGGUAUAAAAUGGACUUCUGAGUUUCAUGAACAAAUGAGGAGGUUAGAGAGAGUGAGAAGUGAAGGACUAAAGCUUUGCUGCAUCACUGUCUUAAGGAAGAGAUGAAACAAGUCCUAAAUCUCACUCACAUUGAAUUGCAUUGAAGCGCUCUGUGAAUGUUCGUGUCGAUUGCAGUGGUGGACGAAGUACAAAGAUACACUAGGAAUUAUGUUUUUCUGUGUGACUUUCCUGAUUCUGUACAGCUUUAUGGAAUGUCAGUCAGAGCAGUUACAGGUGGUUGGUCCAAAAGCUCCUCUUGUUGCUGUAACUGGUGAAGACUUGGUUCUGCCCUGUUUUAUCAAACCCAACACCAAUGCUUUGAAUAUGACGGUGGAAUGGUUGAGAGUAGAGCUAGGGGUUUUAUUUGUGCAUAGCUAUAGGAGUCAUGAAGACCAAAAUGAAAAUCAGGCUCAGGCCUACAAAGGAAGAACAUCACUGUUCAAAGAGGAGCUGCAGAAAGGCAACGCUUCACUCAAACUCUCAGCUCUCCAAGUCUCUGAUGCAGGAAAAUAUGUGUGUCAUAUUGAGGACAAAUCCUGGAUUCAAGAAGUGCCUGUUUAUGUAACUGUUGCGGUUCUGGGAAGCCACCCGGUGAUCACAGUGGAGAGUUAUGAUAACUCAGGAGGGAUUAAUCUUGUGUGUGAGUCCAGAGGAUGGAAUCCUGAACCUCAGGUUCAGUGGCUGGACAGAGAACAAGUCAUUCUGACUGCUGAAGAUACACAGAUACACAGAGACACAGAGGGCUUCAGUGUGAAAAGCCACAUCACUGUUUUUGAUUAUAGUGACUCUAACAGGUUUUACUGCAGACUUCAACAAAAACAUCACAUGAUUGAGACACACAUAAUCAUUAAUAGUAAGAUCUUUCAUGCUUGGAAGACGAUUGUCGGCAUUUCUGUUUUAGCAUUACUCUUUGCUGUUGGAUUGAUAUUAACUGCUGUUAUCUGCCACAAGAAAGGGCAUUCACAUGGAUAAGAACUACGCAGAGCUGCAGAGACUGAGAGUGAAAAAUGAGGUUUAAAUUCCCCUAUAUUGUAGCAAAGCAGAGUUUCUCUACAGGGAGAUUUUAUGAUGAGGUACAGGUCAAAGGGAAAACUGCAUGGACAUUAGGAGUGAUCAGAGAGAACAUUGACAGGAAGGCAUGGAUGACAGCGACUCCUCAGAAUGGAUUAUGGCUUGUGGAACUGAGGAAUGAGAAUAAAUUCAGGGCUUGUGCUAAUUCUUUUGUCCCCCUCACACUGAGAGAGAAGGUGGAAAAGGUGGGGGUGUUUGUGGACUAUGAGGAGGGUCUCAUAUCUAUUCUUUCACUGGUCAGUCUUUCAGUUCUGAGAAAAUCUUUACAUACUUUAGUCCACGUAAUAAUAUGCAAGAUAAAAAUUCAGCGCCACUGAUCACUGCUGUUAAUGAAUAAAUAUCUGUUUUAUAUUCUAUAGCAUUUUAAAAGGUAUUUAAUGCUCACUUACAUUUAAAAUAAAACAGCUUAAUAAAAUGUGUUUAUAUGAAUUUAUAUGCAUAAUAUGAUUAUCUGAUUUCCAAUCAAAUUGAAAGGAUUUAUCAAAUUCUAUAAAAACAGAUGGAUGUUACUGACAUACAUGUAAUAUAAAAUAAACUCUUAUUCUGUGUUUGUGUUGUUAAUCUGGUUUCUCAAACAGCACAAAACUCAGUACUUGUCAUGCAUUUAUGAUUUUUAGAAUGUAUAAAGCUCAGUAAAAUCAUUAUUGAUUGGAUAUGUAGGUUUGUAAUGAAUGUUCUUAUUGUUCUGGUUUCUUUAACAUGAUGCAAAUUACAAGAGUUAAUAUUAUGGAGCUGAUCAGUGAUGAAACUGAUUUAAUGCUCUUAAUUAUUUGUUAACAGCUGACUAGACUAUUGCUAGUGUUUUUUUUGUUUUUUCUAAAUAUGUUGUGUAAUCAUCUCAGUUUAUAAUAAUUUCUGUCCAUCUGGAUCAAGCACUUUUAUUAAAUUUCAUCAAAA